GACGAACGCUGGCGGCGUGCUUAACACAUGCAAGUCGAACGGAAAGGCCCUGCUUGCAGGGUACUCGAGUGGCGAACGGGUGAGUAACACGUGGGUGAUCUGCCCUGCACUUCGGGAUAAGCCUGGGAAACUGGGUCUAAUACCGGAUAGGAGCCAUUUUUAGUGUGAUGGUUGGAAAGUUUUUUCGGUGUAGGAUGAGCUCGCGGCCUAUCAGCUUGUUGGUGGGGUAAUGGCCUACCAAGGCGGCGACGGGUAGACGGCCUGAGAGGGUGGACGGCCAGAUUGGGACUGAGCUACGGCCGAGACUCCCGCGGGAGGCAGCAGUGGGGAAGAUUGCACCAUGGGCGGAGGCCUGAUGCAGCAACGCCGCGUGCGGGAUGAUGGCCUUCGGGUUGUAAACCGCUUUCGCCUGUGACGAAGCGUGAGGGACGGUAAUGGGUAAAGAAGCACCGGCUAAUUACGUG
rnacentral:rRNA from 1 species